GACGAACGCUGGCGGCGUGCCUAACACAUGCAAGUCGAGCGGGAACCUCAGGAGGGGUAACCCUUCUGAGGGGAGAGCGGCGAACGGGUGAGUAACACGUGGGCAACCUGCCCCGGACACCGGGAUAACCCAGGGAAACCUGAGCUAAUACCGGAUACUCCGGCGCGAUCGCAUGGUCGUGCCGGGAAAGCUCCGACGGUCCGGGAUGGGCCCGCGGCCUAUCAGCUUGUUGGUGGGGUAACGGCCCACCAAGGCGACGACGGGUAGCUGGUCUGAGAGGACGGCCAGCCACACUGGGACUGAGACACGGCCCAGACUCCUACGGGAGGCAGCAGUGGGGGAUCUUGCGCUAAUGCGCGAAAGCGUGACGCAGCGACGCCGCGUGGGGAUGAAGG
rnacentral:rRNA from 1 species